AUUGAACGCUGGCGGCAGGCCUAACACAUGCAAGUAGAACGAGUGGCGGACGGGUGAGUAAUGUCUGGGAAACUGCCCGAUGGAGGGGGAUAACUACUGGAAACGGUAGCUAAUACCGCAUACCCUCGGAUGUGCCCAGAUGGGAUUAGCUAGUCGGUGGGGUACCGGCUCACCUAGGCGACGAUCCCUAGCUGGUCUGAGAGGAUGACCAGCCACACUGGAACUGAGACACGGUCCAGCCGCCUACGGGAGGCAGCAGUGGGGAAUAUUGCACAAGGGGCGCGAGCCUGAUGCAGCCAUGCCGCGUGGAUGAAGAAGGCCUUCGGGUUGUAAAGUACUUUCAGCGAGGAGGCGUUACUCGCAGAGGAAGCACCGGCUAACUCCGUGCCAGCAGCCGCGGUAAUUC
rnacentral:rRNA from 1 species